rnacentral:rRNA from 1 species
CGUUCCCGGGCCUUGUACACACCGCCCGUCACGUCACGAAAGUCGGUAACACCCGAAGCCCGUGGCUCAACCCGCAAGGGGGAGAGCGGUCGAAGGUGGGACUGGCGAUUGGGACG